CCCUUAGAUGUUCUGGGCGGCCCGCGCACUACAAUGGCGCUUUCAGCGAGUUCCUAUGUUGAAUUUUCCUGGGUAUUCUUGGAAGCGGCGUCUUGACUUGGGAUAGAUCCUUGUAAUUGUUGGUUUUGAACGAGGAAUUCCUUGUAAUCGCGGUUGAUCAGCUCGCGUUGAAUACGUCCCUGCCCUUCGUACACACCGCCCGUCGCUCCUACCGAUGAAUCGUCCGGUGAAGUUCACAGAGUGGCGGUUCGUGGAGUUGCUCGCGAAGUGAAAUGGACCUCACGAUUUAGAGGAAGGAGAAGUCGUAACA
rnacentral:rRNA from 1 species